UACAGAGGGUGCGAGCGUUAAUCGGAAUUACUGGGCGUAAAGCGCGCGUAGACGGUUUUGUAAGUCAGAUGUGAAAUCCCUGGGCUCAACCUGGGAACUGCAUUUGAGACUGCAUGGCUAGAGUAUGGAAGAGGGAAGUGGAAUUUCCGGUGUAGCGGUGAAAUGCGUAGAUAUCAGGAGGAACACCAAUGGCGAAGGCAGCUCGCUGGGACGUGACUGACGCUGAGACGCGAAAGCGUGGGGAGCAAACAGG
rnacentral:rRNA from 1 species